CUACGGGGCGCAGCAGUGAGGAAUUUUGCGCAAUGGGGGAAACCCUGACGCAGCAACGCCGCGUGAGCGAAGAAGGCCCUCGGGUCGUAAAGCUCUGUCAAGUGGGAAAAAAAUCUUUUGAUCAAUAGUCAAGAGACUUGAUGGUACCACUGGAGGAAGCACCGGCUAACUCCGUGCCAGCAGCCGCGGUAAUACGGAGGGUGCAAGCGUUGUUCGGAUUUACUGGGCGUAAAGAGCGCGUAGGCGGUUUAUUAAGUCAGAUGUGAAAUCCCUGGGCUCAACCCGGGAAGUGCAUUUGAAACUGGUUCACUAGAGUAUGGGAGAGGGGAGUAGAAUUCCUGGUGUAGAGGUGAAAUGCGUAGAUAUCAGGAGGAAUACCGGUGGCGAAGGCGACUCUCUGGACCAAUACUGACGCUGAGAUGCGAAAGCGUGGGGAGCAAACAGGAUUAGAUACCCUCGUAGUC
rnacentral:rRNA from 1 species